rnacentral:tRNA from 1 species
AAGGGAGACCUAAUUCCGGUAGGAGACGAAAAAAAAGUAGUCCCUACCAAGAAUCAAUCCCAAAAGGUCGAAGCGAGGCAAGAUUGGCUUUCAAACUAGGUUCUGGGUUCAAACAAGACCUGAAUCAGGAACAAGGGCUAUUAGCUCAGGUGGUUAGAGCGCACCCCUGAUAAGGGUGAGGUCCCUGGUUCGAGUCCAGGAUGGCCCACCCGCACAGGUGGCAAAAACAAAGAAGCGAGGAAUCAGCACCUUAUCUUACUCAUAUAGUAAGAGAGAAUGCUGGCUCUGAGUAAAGAGUCCAGAGGAACCUUGAAAACUGCAUAGAGCUAGGUGAAAAAGCCAAAAAAGAAGACCGCAA